CCCCUGCAUCAUCAUCAUCAUUGCCACUUUACAUAUAAUUUCACCUCCAUUGUCUAUUUCAUAAUUGGGGUUUUAGGGUUUCUAACGGCUCGGGUAAUCAGACUUUCCCGACUAAGCUAAGUAGGCAGUAAAAUUAAGUCACAAAAUAUACAGAUUCCGAAAUCAAUACUGUAAUUAAGCAAUCGUUUCUUUCUAGUAUCCGUUUCCAAUUUCCAAUCUACAACAGGCAGAUCUAUAGGACAUACACGAACACAUACUUUAUAAGCAAUGCAGUUAUCAAAUUCAAAGUGGAUUCGGCCGCGGAAACGCUCCGAUGUAAUCCGGGAUAUUGAAUAGUUACAGGUGAACGUAGUACCGAUUAGCGUCGAUUUGGAAUUAUUUUUAUCUAAUCUCUUGAAUUCUUUUACUCAAUUAAGCUGGUUUGGAUAUAUUUGGGGCAGUUUGGUUCAUGGUGUCUGAAAUUUGGGUCAGUUCAUUCCAAAUCAUACCUCUUCCAACCUCAUAUCGCUACUUGAACCGAACAAUCUCUUUAUGAGUUAAAUUUUUUAGGGUGAGUAUCGACUUCUCGCACGAGAAGGUAUAUAAGAUACUCGAUCAUCCCAUUUCACCCUUGUGAGCGUUGAAAAGCUAAAGAUUUCGAGUAAAUAUUAUUUUUGACUUCAUUCCGAUAUAAAAAUCAAUCGGAACAUGUCGGAUAUUUAGAUGAUUGAAUCGGCGAGUAAAAUAUUGAGGCUAGGGGUGGGCAUAAAAAUCUGAAAACUGGAUUAUCUGAUUUUCUGAUCCGGUAUCCGAUUCCGAUUUACAAAAAUCCGAAAAUUCAGAUAUUUUAUCCAAAAAAUUGGACUGGAUAUUUGAUCCCCAUUUUUUUCAUAAAUCCGAAUUCUAAUCAUUAUUUUCUAUAAGACCGGAUAUCCGGAUCGAUCCGGUUUUUGAUUUCUAUCUAAAAUAAAUAAAUUUUUCAUGAUUAAUAUACUUACUAAAGAUAAAUAAUACACUACAUGUUAUUGAUAAUAUAAAUUAUUAUGAUUAUAUUGUUUAUAUAUAUAUAUAUAUAUAAGAAUUCAUUAUAUUUGAUUAAAUAUAGUCAGUGUGAUGAUCACAAAUAUCAUUUAUAAGAACUAUAAUAAAAAUUAAAUUUUAUAUUCCACUAAAAUUAAAUGAAGUAUAAGAAAAAUAAUAUUAUAGAUGCUAAACUUAAAAUUUUGUUUUUUUAAGUUGCUACUAAUUAUUUAUAAUUUAUAAACUUAGUUGUAGAAGAUUAAAAAUAUAAUUUAAUUGAAGAAUAAUUUAUGAAUUAAAUGUAGUUAUAUGUAACAAAUUCGGAUCUGAAUUAUCCGGUUAUUUGCAUGGAUAUCCGGAAUCGGAACCGGAAUUGAUUUAUGAAGAUCCGCAANGUUUCCAAUUUCCAAUCUACAACAGGCAGAUCUAUAGGACAUACACGAACACAUACUUUAUAAGCAAUGCAGUUAUCAAAUUCAAAGUGGAUUCGGCCGCGGAAACGCUCCGAUGUAAUCCGGGAUAUUGAAUAGUUACAGGUGAACGUAGUACCGAUUAGCGUCGAUUUGGAAUUAUUUUUAUCUAAUCUCUUGAAUUCUUUUACUCAAUUAAGCUGGUUUGGAUAUAUUUGGGGCAGUUUGGUUCAUGGUGUCUGAAAUUUGGGUCAGUUCAUUCCAAAUCAUACCUCUUCCAACCUCAUAUCGCUACUUGAACCGAACAAUCUCUUUAUGAGUUAAAUUUUUUAGGGUGAGUAUCGACUUCUCGCACGAGAAGGUAUAUAAGAUACUCGAUCAUCCCAUUUCACCCUUGUGAGCGUUGAAAAGCUAAAGAUUUCGAGUAAAUAUUAUUUUUGACUUCAUUCCGAUAUAAAAAUCAAUCGGAACAUGUCGGAUAUUUAGAUGAUUGAAUCGGCGAGUAAAAUAUUGAGGCUAGG
rnacentral:lncRNA from 1 species